GGGAUACCACCCUUGUAGUACUGGGACUCUAACCAUAGGCCAUGAAUCUGGUCUUGGGACACUGUCAGGUGGGCAGUUUGACUGGGGCGGUCGCCUCCCAAAAGGGAACGGAGGCGCUCAAAGGUUCUCUCAGUACGGUCGGAAAUCGUACGUAGAGUGUAAAGGCAAAAGAGAGCUUGAUUGCAAGACAUACAGGUCGAGCAAGGAUGAAAAUCGGACUUAGUGAUCCGGUGGUUCUGCGUGGAAGGGCCAUCGCUCAACGGAUAAAAGCUACCCUGGGGAUAACAGGCUUAUCUCCCCCAAGAGUCCACAUCGACGGGGAGGUUUGGCACCUCGAUGUCGGCUCAUCACAUCCUGGGGCUGUAGUAGGUCCCAAGGGUUGGGCUGUUCGCCCAUUAAAGUGGUACGCGAGCUGGGUUCAGAACGUCGUGAGACAGUUCGGUCCCUAUCCGUCGCAGGCGUAGGAAAUUUGAGAAGACCUGUCCUUAGUACGAGAGGACCGGGAUGGACGUACCUCUGGUGUACCAGUUGUUCUGCCAAGGGCAUGGCUGGGUAGCUAUGUACGGAAUGGAUAAGCGCUGAAAGCAUCUAAGCGCGAAGCCAACUUCAAGAUAAGAUUUCCCACCGCAAGGGUAAGACCCCAGAAAGACUAUCU
rnacentral:rRNA from 1 species